rnacentral:rRNA from 1 species
GACGAACCGUGCGAACGUUAUUCGGAAUCACUGGGCUUAAAGCGCGUGUAGGCGGGAGGGCACGUCCGUUGCUGAAAUCCCCCGGCUCAACCGGGGAACGGGCGCGGAUACGACUCUCCUUGAGGGGCGUAGGGGGACCUGGAACUUCCGGUGGAGCGGUGAAAUGCGUUGAGAUCGGAAGGAACACCCGUGGCUAAGGCGGCUCUCUAGUACGGUACUGACGCUGAGACGCGAAAGCGUGGGGAGCGAACAGG